rnacentral:piRNA from 1 species
UAGUAUCUUUUUUCAAUAUUU